AGAACGAACGCUGGCGGCAUGCCUAACACAUGCAAGUCGAACGAGACCUUCGGGUCUAGUGGCGCACGGGUGCGUAACGCGUGGGAAUCUGCCCUUGGGUUCGGGAUAACAGUUGGAAACGACUGCUAAUACCGGAUAAUGACUUCGGUCCAAAGAUUUAUUGCCCAGGGAUGAGCCCGCGUAGGAUUAGCUAGUUGGUGAGGUAAAGGCUCACCAAGGCGACGAUCCUUAGCUGGUCUGAGAGGAUGAUCAGCCACACUGGGACUGAGACACGGCCCAGACUCCUACGGGAGGCAGCAGUGGGGAAUAUGGACAAUGGGCGAAAGCCUGAUCCAGCAAUGCCGCGUGAGUGAUGAAGGCCUUAGGUUGUAAAGCUCGUUUUACCCGGGAUGAUAAUGACAGGUACCGGAAGAAUAAGCCCCGGUCUAACCGUCCGCGCCAGCAGCCGC
rnacentral:rRNA from 1 species